ACUCAGCGGGCGCUCUGCUGACUGAGAGGCUCGGGUAAGCUCGCGGGGUGGCGGGCGCGGGGAUGAGCGCGGCAGACCGCAAAAAAGCCGAAGUCAGAGGACGACCCAGAACUUGGCUUCCCCGAGCCGCGGGUCGCCUUCCCGGGACGUCGGCCUGGCCCCCUCGGAGGCCCAUCCUCCCUCGGGGACUCCCUUCCUCAGGGACCCCCUCCACACUCAGUAGUCCUCGCCAGCCUCAGAGAGGUUUCCGCCACGCCUGCCACCCGCCUGGGCCGUGUUACCCACGUGUUUUGUCUUCAUAACGUGGGUGGCGGGCUCCCUUUGUUCUGGGUCGCUUUGCAGGGUCCAGGUCGUUUUCUCUUCACCAGGACCCCACGAGUUGCUGCUUUCCUCACAGCAGCCCGGAGUCCCGGGGGAGCGCGGCGGGGGCCGCCCCAGGCAGGCUGGCUUCAUUCCCAGGCUGCUGCCGAUGCGUGUCUGGCCGAGUGAUCUCUGCUAAACAGAAGAAUCUCAAGAAAUGGCAAGGGAUGGAGGCAGGGAUGGGUGCCAAAGACACAUGAAUGAGAACAAAGCCUGGUUUUGAUCCAAAGAAUUGAAAAGACCAUAGCGAGGGGCAACAUAGGGAGACCCCACCUCUACAAAAAAAAAAAAAAAAAAAAAAAAAAAAAAAAUAUAUAUAUAUAUAUAUAUAUAUAUACACAAAAAAUAUACAAAAUAUACAUACAAAAAAUAUAUACAAAAUAUACAAAAAAUGUACAAAAGAUACAACAAAAAUAGCUGGGUGUGGUGGCACGGAUCUGUGGUCUCCACUACUUGGGAGGCUGAGGCUGGAGAAUCACUGGAACCCGGGACGUCGAGGCUGCAGUGAGCUGACAUCCCGCCACUGGACUCCAGUCUGGGCUACAGAGUGAGGCUUUGUCUCAAAAACAAAACAACAAAACAAAAAAGAAUUUAAAAAACCACUGAAAAUAGGGUAGCGUUCCUACCCUGGUGUUUAAUGCUCUGGGUACCACCUAAACACGUUUUCGAAAACCAUUCCCAGGUCCGACGCUUUGGAACACCCUCAAGCUAAUAGCAUCUCGGCUGAUACCAUGAGUUCUACGUCAGAUUGUUGACCUGGUCACCUUAGGGCUAAUUAGUUCACUUAAUCCCCAUAAGAACCGGAAAGAAGGUAUUGUCAUCGUGUUGUUAAGGAUUCUGAGACACAGAGUGGGUAACGCACUUGGUGUUCACACAGCUAAUCCAUGUUAGAGCUGAAAUUCAAACACCGAUUUGGAUGUUAAAAGCCCUUUAGGUUUUCCCAGGGGUAAAUAAAAUCAUUGUAAUGUACCAAGUGGCUACAGAAUCUCAUUCACUUGUGACUGUGUGUGAGAUGCCGGGGGUAUAAUAGCGUGUAAAAACACAUAUCCCCACCUUUCCUGAAGCUGAUAUUCUGGACGUAAGUAAGUGGCGACUGCUAUGAAAGAGAGAAAACAGUGAUGUGACAGAGUAACGCUUAGGGUUACUUUAGACCAGGUGGUUUGGAACGGCCCUUGUCAGAUGAUGGUGCUAAGGCUUGAAAGUUGAGAAAAACGUGUUUUAUGAAGAGUUGGAGGUAGAGUGUGCUCAGAAGACAGCAUCAACUGUAAAGGUCCUCAGAUAUGAACAAGACAAAGUCCGUGUUAAAAGUUUUACAAGUGGAAACAGUAGAGGUUAAUCAUAAGCCACAUUGCAUCCCCCAAAAUUCAUAUGUUGAAGUUCCAACUCCCAGUGCCUCAGAAUGUGAAUGUAUUUGGAGACAGUCCUUUUUAAAGAGGUGAUUAAAACAAGACCCUUAGGGUGAGCCCUAAUCCAGUCUGACUGAUGUCGUCAUAAGAAGAGGAAAUUUGGACACAGACACCAAGGUUGUGUUUGCAUAAAGGAAAGACUAUCUGAAAGCCAAAAAAAUAAAAAAAAUUUAAAAAAUCUCUCAGGAGAAACCAAACCUGCCAACACCUUGAUCUUAGACCUCUAGCCUCCAGCACUGUGAGAAAAUCACAACCAGUCUGUAUAGGGCACCCAGUGUGUAGUGUUUUCUUAUAGUAACCGUAGCAGACUAAUAUACCAUACAAUUAGCUGUAGAUGACAGUUGUGAUGAGAGCCCGGUAAGGAAAGUUUGAGGGUCAUGAAAGGGUACAACGAGGGUACCUAAACCAUUCUGGCCUGGAAAUGAGGACUCUCCUAAACGUAGAGAGGAGUUAAUCAGGGAAAAGGCCCACCAAUCAUUCACAUUGUUAUGCUGCUUUUACCACCAUAGGACUCUUCAUCUUGCAAAAUGAAAACUCUUGUUCCCAUUAAACACUAAUUCCUCAGGUCCUCACGACUACUUUCUGUCUCUAUAAGUUUGGUUUUUCUGUGGGAUUCUCAAAGAACUGCUGUGAGAGUAGAGGUGAAGGGAGAAGUGACUCAGUCUGCCUUCUGCACUUGGGAAACUAAGGGGCGACUGAACUAGGAUGAACACAUGUCUUGUCAGCUUCAGAAGAGGAAAACAGCAUUCCCGGCGAAAUAAGAGCAUAUAUCUAUCAUGUAAGGAUGCUGGAAGCGCCACACCUUCUCUAUGGACCCCUGUUGUACCAGUCUGUGUUCUGAUUUGUUUUUCUGAAACAUUGACAUUAUUAUGUUAUUCUUUCACUCUAAAAUUUACAAUAUCUGUUAUUGUCUGAGAGAUAAAGCUCACCUUCUUCAACCUGCCACUCAAAAUUCUAUUUUUCUAUUUGAUGGUGAAAAUCCUUAUAAUUAAAAUGAAUCCCCCAAGUCUUUUCCCACCCCUCAACAUGUUAUAAAUGAGAAGUGAUUUAAGAGUAAUAGUGUAAUUUUAACUUUGAAAACUACCUGACAAGAUAAUUCCUUGAUCUUUCUAUGCACCUGAAUUGCAGAGCACAGAGGAUAGAUCUCACAAUCAAUAAUGUGUUAACCUGUUGUAGUUACCCAGCCAAAGAAACAUCAUUUUGAGGGAAGAAAUGUUUCAAAUAGGUCUUCACACAGUUUUGAGUCCUGUCAUAAUGGAAUUUGUUGGAAGUAUGAAAGCCUCCAAUU
rnacentral:lncRNA from 10 species